rnacentral:tRNA from 1 species
GCCUUCGUGAUAUAGAGGUUAGCACGCUCGACGCGAAUUCGACAGGUCCCUGGUUCAAGUCCUGGCGAGGGCA